rnacentral:rRNA from 1 species
AGGACGAACGCUGGCGGCGUGCUUAACACAUGCAAGUCGAACGGUGAAGGAGAGCUUGCUCUCCGGAUCAGUGGCGAACGGGUGAGUAACACGUGAGUAACCUGCCCUUGACUCUGGGAUAAGCGUUGGAAACGACGUCUAAUACCGGAUACGAGCUUCAGCCGCAUGGCUAGGAGCUGGAAAGAAUUUCGGUCAAGGAUGGACUCGCGGCCUAUCAGCUAGUUGGUGAGGUAAUGGCUCACCAAGGCGACGAC